CCCUGGUGGGGGGCAGAGUUCCUAGCCUGUGUGAUGCCCAGUUUAGAAGCCGCCACCCCCGCCCCAAGGCAGGAGGUGUCGCCACUGUGGGGAAGGAACAGCAGAGUCCAGCCUCCGGGGAGCCCAGCCGCCCGGGGAGCAGGGGAGCGUGGGGAUCCGCCCGAGGCCCUUAAGCAGGUCGGUGCUCCCCCUCUGCCAUCUCCCAGAGAAGUGCCCGAGCCCGGCUUCUGAAGGAAGAGGAGCGUAUGCCCAAGGGCCACGGAGAACAUCGCACCUCUAAGGGGACAGUGUGAAUCUCUUUCCCGCUCUGCCAUGGCCCAUAUAGUACCUGAGAUGGGUGUGACCUGCCAAGAUGUCACUCAACCUGCACUGCAAGAUAUCAGGAAGCAAGACUCUGCCUUUGAAACCUUACCUCUGCCUUUGAUGU